GACGAACGCUGGCGGCGUGCUUAACACAUGCAAGUCGAACGGAAAGGCCCUGCUUGCAGGGUACUCGAGUGGCGAACGGGUGAGUAACACGUGGGUGAUCUGCCCUGCACUUCGGGAUAAGCCUGGGAAACUGGGUCUAAUACCGGCUAGGAGCCAUUUUUAGUGUGAUGGUUGGAAAGUUUUUUCGGUGUAGGAUGAGCUCGCGGCCUAUCAGCUUGUUGGUGGGGUAAUGGCCUACCAAGGCGGCGACGGGUAGCCGGCCUGAGAGGGUGGACGGCCACACUGGGACUGAGAUACGGCCCAGACUCCUACGGGAGGCAGAAGUGGGGAAUAUUGCACAAUGGGAGCAAGCCUGAUGCAGCGACGCCGCGUGGGGGAUGACGGCCUUCGGGUUGUAAACUCCUUUCGCUAGGGACGAAGCUUUUUGUGACGGUACCUAGAGAAGAAGCACCGGCUAACUACGUG
rnacentral:rRNA from 1 species